rnacentral:lncRNA from 1 species
GGAAAUGUCGUGAUGUGUUGGUGCCUUGUCAUCACAGUAAACACAAAAUAAGAAGUAACACAGCGGAAUAAGAGACAAAUGAGAUAUGGAAUGGUGAUGUUGAGGAGUGCCAGUGGGUGUUCACAUCGAAAUUUUAUCCUGGGAGAUUUUAUUCGCUCAACUUUUUUUUUUUGCCUAAAUAAGCUUAUCAGAUUUAUUUUAAGUACAUCCUCUUUGUCUUUAUCUCUCAUUCUCUUUCUCAUCUUCUUAAUAUUAGAAGGUUG